GGAUUUUUAUACGACCGCAAAAAAAAUUUUUGUGGUCGUAUAUUGGUAUGACGUUGGCGUCGUCGUCGUCCGAAGACACAUUAGUUUUUGCACUCUAACUUUAGUUUAAGUGAAUGGAUCUCUAUGAAAUUUUACCAUAAGGUUCAAUACCACAAAAGGAAGGUUGGGAUUGAUUUUGGGGGUUAUGUUACCAACAGUUAAGGAAUUAGGGGCCAAAAAUAAGCAUUUUUGUAACUUCCAGACAUAACUUGUGUGUUAGUGUAUGGAUCUCUGACAUUGUACCACAAGGUUCCAUAUCACACAGGGAAUGCUGGGAUUAAUUUUGGGGGUAAUUGCCUCAAAAUAUUAGAAAUAAGGGGCCAAAAAAGGGGCAAAAAACAAGCAUUUUUUUAGUUUCAUGACAAUAACUUGUGUGUAAGUGUAUGGAUCUUUCUGAAAUUGUACUACAAGGUUCCAUAUCACAAAGGGAAAGCUGGAAUUGAGUUUGGGGGUAAUUGCCCAAAACGUUUAGGAAUAAGGGGCCAAAAAGGGGCCAAAAAUAAGCAUUUUUCUAGUUUCCAGACAAUAACUUGUGUUCAAGUGUAUGGAUCUCUCUGAAAUUGUACCACAAGGUUCCAUAUCACACAGGGAAUGCUGGGAUUGAUUUUGGGGGUAAUUGCCCAAAACGUUUAGGAAUAAGGGGCCAAAAAGGGGCCAAAAAUAAGCAUUUUUCUAGUUUCCAGACAAUAACUUGUGUUCAAGUGUAUGGAUCUCUCUGAAAUUGUACUCCAAGGUACCAUACCACAAAGGAAAAGCUGGGAUUGAGUUUGGGGGUGAUGAAUCAUAAGGGGGUUCAAAAAAUUUGGGGGGGGGGGAUUUUUUUUUUUUUCCUUUUUUUU